UUUUCACUUUUUAUGCUUCUACUUAUUAAAAUUAGUUUGUGAUGUCACUAAAUUGAAAAGAUUCGUAACUUUCCUGUCUAUAUUGGCUUUAUUAUUGUUUUAGUAUAAAAUAAGUUAAUACAUGUAUCUUUUCAUAUUAUUGUUAUAUAGCUAUUUACACUGAUCAUGUCUACUCUGUGUCUUGCAUUGAACCAAGUAUACUUAACAAAUAAGUAUGUCUGUCUACUCAGUGCACAUGCUGUAUUGAGAUAAAUGUUCAUAAUGGGUCUUUUUGAGAAUGUAAUUUGACUGGCAGAGUGAAAUUCUAAUAAUUUGCAAAUUACAAAGCAUAAUUAAGAUAUAGAAAUAGGUAGUUUUUCAUCGUGCUUUUACCUACCUGUUAAUAAAAGUAGAAAUGGAACUAUUGCAGACUGUAACACUUUUUAUAUUCUGAAAAAGUUUGCUUCCUUUUCUCUAAAGCAAAAUGGAGGACUGUUGCUUUUGGGAAACUAGCACUGAGUGGUGGGAUUGCUUCAUUAUGCAGGUCUGGCAUGACAAGCAGUGGCUGCAGAACUUUGGGAUGCAGAAAGCCACCUUCCAGGAGCUGUGUGCGGCACAAGGACACCAAAAUGAGAGCUGCUCUCUUGGUGAUGAAGUUCAAGGCUAUCACUGUGUGGAAGUUGGCAGCUCCAGACUGCUAUUGGAAUCUUGGUUCAGAUUGGAGUGUAUGCCAGGACCAUAUUAAAGAUGGCAUGUUGUGAUUUCUGGAGAGGUUGUGCAAAAAUUAUAUUGCUGUGUGAGCAAUGCCAGGUAACUCAUUAUUAGGAAACUUUCGACCUUAACUGGAUAAACCCAGGUCAGUUGUGUGUUUUUGUAUUCCCCAUAGAUGUUGAUUGUGUAGAGUCUGUUUCUAAACUGACAAUGUUAGUUAUGUACGUAUAUAAAUUUCUAAAAAAGUGUGAUGAAUUACACUUACAUGGCUAGCUUUUCAAAAGUCUGAUUGUCAUUAAACUUUACACAGUAAACUACUUACUGCUUUAAAGUCC